CCCACGCUCCUGGAGCCCGAAGCCGCUGCUCGGCCUGUGCACUGAGGGGGUCAUGCAGGACUGACCCCCGGGGGGAAUGGCCAGCACGUCCCCAUCCUCAUGGAGACAGUGAGCUUCAACUCUGAAGCAGUAACAGCAUCCCAGGCACAGCCGUGAAAUGACCUGGGCUUGUCUGCGUAUGGAAUGUGUCGCUGCGGUGACAGCUCAGUACACACGCCCUGUGAGGCUUACACUCUACGCGGGCCGCGUGUCACAACCAAGGCCCACACUGCGUGUGUGCUCACUCAGCCGUGUCUGACUCUGCGACCCCACGCACCGGAGCCGCCAGGCUCCUCUGUCUGGGGGAUUCUCCAGCAAGAGCACUGGAGUGGGCUGCCAUUUGCCUCUCCAGGGCAACCUCCCCACCCAGGGGCUGGACCCACAUCUCCUGCGUCUCCUGCGUCGGCAGGCGGGUUCUUUACCACCAGCACCACCGCAAACACCCCUUGUUUCAAACCACGCCAGUGUCCUUCCUGGCAUCCUGGGCACUGCCUCUUCAGUCCCUUCUGGGGUAAACACCAACGCCAGAGCGUGGAGCUCAGCUGAGCUUUUCCAAAACAGACCAACGGGAUUAUAGACUCAGCCUCGUGAUUUCCUUUUGCAUCUCGAUGGAGGACGCAUGUGAUUUCCACUCGACUGAAGUUGAGCGUAGACACUGUGUGUGUUCUGAGUUGCUUCAGUCGUAUCCCACUACGUGUGACCCCAUGGACUGCAGCCCGCUAGACUCCUCUGUCCAUGGGAUUCUCCAGGCAAGAACACUGGAGUGGGUUGUCAUUUCCUCCUCCAGGGAGUGUACACUCUAGAAGUCAGUUAAUAUGUGUGCAGUUUAAAAGUUAACUGACCAGAGGUCAGCUUGCACCCACAUCCUGAAGCGGUUGUUCCAACAUGUGGACUGCAUGCUACAAAAAUACCUCCACUCAUCUCCUCUGAACCACCAGGCACAGGAGGAAAUGCCAAAAUCCUGGGGAAGGCUUCUCGGAGCUAGAGGUGUUGGUUUCAGCUGAAAGAGAAACUGUCACAGUGAGCAAGGAGGAUCCAGGGAUUUCUUUUUCCUCCAUCGCUGAUUCUACUAGGAAGACAAGAGCAGAACGCCCGUUUUCCUUCUGUGGAUGCAGACUGCACUGUGGAGCUGGCAUCUCAUGUUACCUGCCGGCCUGCCCAUGUGCAGAGAUGGGCGAGACUGCGGGGCUGUGUGGGUGGCGUGGAACACAGACGCGGGGUGAUGGUGGCGGCUGCUCACGUGCGUGGGAAGCUCACAGGUCAGACACCAUGGCGGUCAUCGUGCGGGUGUGUGGAGAGACACAGCGCCUCCUUUAAGCAAUCUUUCCCAUGGAGAUGGCAAGAUUUCUCUUAGGUUUCGAAUUAGAGCCUCUGUCCCCAAAGAAAUGCGUCAGUAAAGGCGGCUUAAUAACCGGCCCUCCACAUCAGACGUCCUGCUUCUUAAUUUUUGAGCAAACUGUGAGUCACUUUUGUUUCACGGCAGCCUGCGAACGCCUCCUCUGAAAAGCCACACUCGGGACCUCUUUGGCUGAUCCGAGCUGCUUUAUUCCAGAAUUCAGCCGGGAGUGAGUCGUUCCCAGACCUCCCUCGCACGGCCUCUGAAUCGGCACCUAAUAAACAUGCAUUUGGGGGAGAAGGCUGAUGGGAGGGCCAUCGCUUAAGUUCCUAUUGUUUCAUUGAUAAAAAUGAUCCGGGAAGCGGCAGAAUAUGUUAGCCAUUUCCUUUGGUUUUCCAUCGAAGGCUGAAAGACAUUUCUAAAAUAGAUCUAUUUUCUUUUCAUUCUGCAGAAUAAUGCAUGAAUGAUUAUAACAUAUGCUCUAUCUCCCUUUUUUCCCUCCCCUCAACCAGUGGGAAAGUGCCUGAGACUGUAAUCACAACUUGUUGGGUUUUCAAUCUGAUGCUGUCCCGUUUUAUCAUGGUAGUUAAACGUCCAUUCUUGUUCGGUGUGAUAAAUGUUAUGGCCGUGUAACAGUAACGAAAAAGAGAGACAUGUUAAACCAAAUAUUGCUUCAGAUUGUGUCUUUUAUUCUCCUUUAUCAUCAUAUCUUAAUUUAUAGUAUAAUCAUCAUUAUCGCAACUGUCAGCCUCAUUUAACCCCGCUGAUCUCCCAUGAUUCUCCGCCGUCAGGUCUGAUUGCCUACCUUCUGCCGACGGGCUGAUAAUGCCUGACAGAUUAACCCUCCCCAAGAGGAAGACAAUGAUACAUAGGACAGCGCCGAGCGCGCUAUAUAUUAAUGAGGAGCUGGCAAGGCUUUGAUAAGGCUGCAGAAUAAUCCAUCAGUGGGGAAGGAGCUUGUAAAACGGGAGGAACGUUUCAUGGGAAAACACCUGGGAAGGGUGUAACGACCCGGCAGCUAAACGCUGUCAGCUGCCUCUCCCCGCGUGUAAUUAGCAUCAGACAGGGCGCGCGGCUGGCCCGCGAAGUCCAUCAGCCCCGGGACCCAGCCUCACUCGCUCCACGCUGGCCCCACCGCGCUCCCGCGUUUACAGCGUAUUUAGCAAGCCGGCAAUUAAUAGCUCGCGUUCUUGGGCAUCAGAAACUGUUUAUCUUCUUCUGAACGUGCUCUCGCCGGAGGCUGUUACCUGGGAAAGGCAGGAGCCGCUGGCGUUUUCUGCCGCACUUACUCCACGGAGGCCGCUCCGCCAUUAGAUACAAUGCCUCAGAUGGCUACUUGAGCUUGAAUGCACCGUUAUUACAGGAAUCUUGGAGCGGCCGGAUCUCGAGCACCCGGACUCCCGAAGCAGCUGUGUCUCCCUGCACCCACGCCCACGGCUGCGCUCACCUUCUGCGCGAGGGGGCCAGGCCCCCACACCCCCGUGCAGACUCGGCCCCCACCUUAACUCCAGGACCGCAAAUGCUGUCCCGAGAGAUUCGUCUUCCACCAGUCGGCAGGCUCCUGCUAGGUGCAGAAUGCCUGAGCCUCCCUUUUCUGCAUUUUCUUCCUCCUUUUCCGUGUGUGUAUGCACAUGCACCCGGGCAUGUUUGACGAAGUGUAACAUCAAAACUUAGGAGAGAGAAGUCCAGAGGCAUUCAGUGACGGGAAACGUCAAAGAGACCCAGGAAACGUUUGGGGAGGAGGUCUAGACUUCCUGUGUCAAUAGAAACUCACUACAGGUGUUCAGACCACUGGAGAGAUGGGGAAAGUAUUAUUCCACACACCUCAGCGUGCACGGGUAACAUUUCACUCAGGAGUUGUCUUUUGGAACUUAGCUCGAUGUCUUAUCAGUGUUUCCUACUAUUUCUGACCUAGAAGAGGCCCUUAAAGAACUGUGUACUGGCCACAAAUAAAUAAGGAACACAGAAACAAAGUAUUUACAAAAUCCUCCAAGCACCCCCCCCAAAGAAAGCCUCCCCACCAACUAAGCUUCCCACAGACAAAUGGAUCAACCACUAGAUUCGCCACCUGUGAAUGGGCACAGCUUCUGGUCCUGAAGCAAUUCAAAGAACAGAGCAGAGAGAAGGAAAGGCUUGUUUAUUGUCUGUCCUGGCAUACAAGAUCCUUUGCAUAAAAAUACAGACUCACCCUGCAUCUCUUCAUUUACUGCUGUAUAUUUUUAUAUAUUCUGCACCAAUAACAAAGUGAGGAGAAAAUACAAGACUCUAUUAAAAAUAUGAGUAAAAAGAAAACCUCCAUAAACCGUGUCCAUAUUUUCUGAAAAGCCUUAUCGUCACAAAGAGCAUAAUAUUAUUUAAGAGGCAACUGAAAUCAAAGAUCUUCAAAAUCUGCCAUCUCUUGGCUUCUUCCAAGUCAGAACCUUCCCACUGGGUGCCCGGUUCCCCUCGCUAUGCGUGUCCCCAUGGUACAAGUACAGUGA
ensembl:lncRNA